AUUGAACGCUGGCGGGAGGCAUAACACAAGCAAGUCGAACGAGUGGCGGACGGGUGAGUAAUGUCUGGGAAACUGCCUGAUGGAGGGGGCUCACUAAUGGAAACGGUAGCUAAUACCGCAUACCAUCAGAUGUGCCCAGAUGGGAUUAGCUUGUUGGUGGGGUAACGGCUCACCAAGGCGACGAUCCCUAGCUGGUCUGAGAGGAUGACCAGCCACACUGGAACUGAGACACGGUCCAGACUCCUACGGGAGUCAGUGGGGAAUAUUGCACGAUGGGCGCAAGCCGGAUGCAGGCAUGCGGGUUGUAUGAAGAAGCCGUUCGGGUUGUAAAGUACUUUCAGCGGGGAGGCGUGACCAGCAGAAGAAGCACCGGCUAACUCCUUGCCAGCAGCCGCGGUAAUUC
rnacentral:rRNA from 1 species